AUACGGAGGGUGCAAGCGUUACUCGGAAUCACUGGGCGUAAAGCGCGCGCAGGCGGGCUGAUAAGUUGGAUGUGAAAGCCUACGGCUCAACCGUAGAACUGCAUCCAAAACUGUCAGUCUAGAGUGUGGGAGAGGAAGAUGGAAUUAGUUGUGUAGGGGUAAAAUCCGUAGAGAUAACUAGGAAUACCAAAAGCGAAGGCAAUCUUCUGGAACACUACUGAUGCUGAGGCGCGAAGGCGUGGGGAGCAAACAGGAUUAGAAACCCCGGUAGUCC
rnacentral:rRNA from 1 species